CCGCGUCCCCUGCAUCGGCAGGCAGACUCUCAACCACUGCGCCACCAGGGAAGCCCUCACUUCUUUUUUGGAUCCAUCUCUCACCUUCAUGAGGAGCAUGAUUCCAAUGAGAUGGACACAUCAAUCAAUCAAGAAAAAAAUUCUAGUUGACCUGACAUGAGAGAGUUGGGCUCUGCGAUUUCAAGGCCUGAGGUGGAGAGAUGCUGCGUGCAGGCUGGGGAAACCUGACCAUCUGCAGUGUCACAGGGCCAGUGCUGCUGAAGUACGAGCAGAGGGUCCCCACUGCUCUCUUCGGCGUCACACCUGGCCUGUUCUACCCAUCUGCAUCACCUCUGCCUGGCCCCUCUGUGUACGUGUCAGCCCAACAUCCCUACUCCGCUGAUGAGGGGACUAAGGCCCGAGGAGGCACAGUAAUUCGCCCAAGGUCACACUGCAGUUGAAUAGAGCUGGGAUAUAAACUCUGUUUUCCAAUUAAACACUUU